rnacentral:rRNA from 1 species
UACAGAGGUCUCAAGCGUUGUUCGGAUUCAUUGGGCGUAAAGCGCGCGCAGGCGGUUCUUUAAGUCUGGUGUCUAAGUGCGGGGCUCAACCCCGUGAUGCACUGGAAACUGGGGAACUUGAGUGUAGGAGAGGAAAGUGGAAUUCCACGUGUAGCGGUGAAAUGCGUAGAGAUGUGGAGGAACACCAGUGGCGAAGGCGACUUUCUGGCCUAUAACUGACGCUGAGGCGCGAAAGCGUGGGGAGCAAACAGG